UCUAGUUGGAUGCUUGGUGGUUGGUAAGUUCUCCAAGAAAGAUUUUUCCCCUCUCUCUAGUUCCUGGACUGCUGUGUUAAAUUUCCCAUUGUGCCAUAGGGGAGCGCCUUGGGGCAUUGUGGGAAAUUAAAAAUCCAAUCUCGCAGUUGGAUGGAAGGCCAUCUCAACUGCUUGCAAAGUUAUUUCUAGGUGCAGCUCAUCAAUUAAGCUCUCCAAGAAAGAUUUUUUUCCUCUCUCUCUCUGGUUCCUGGACUGCUGUAUUAAAUUUCCCAUCAUGCCACAGACAAUUGCCUUGGAGCAUUGUGGGAAAUUAGAAGUCCGGUGAGCUGACAGAUGCAUGGAAGCCCAUCAAGGUGCUUCUACUUGGAUGCUUUAAUGGUUGGUAAGUUCUUCCAGAGAGAUUUUCUGGUUCUUCUUUGCUACCUUGUUCAACUUUAGGGGGCUUGAUCCUGGUGGCGGAGCCCUCCUGAACUACGGACUCUAACUCCCAUCAUCCCUAGCCAACUCACUCAUGAUCUGAGAAGAUGAUAGUUGAAGGGGGGGGGGCUCCCCAUCUGUUUAGCCACCUCUUCCCCCUCUCACUCAACUUCUUUAGUCCUUCCAAAAAUGUGGGUUUGUUUUUUUUAAGAGGUCAACUGGGUAAAACCUCCCUCGGUGCUUGCCCCUCCUCUGUGGAGGAUGGGAGUUGUAAUCUUGGAGCAUUGAGGAGAGCAAAAUGGGGUGGGGGGGGGUGUGUGCUGUUAUUUUCCUUUUCCUAUUCUGAAAAGAUUUUAAAAAUCAAAAUUAAGAGCAACAACAACAACGAAAGAACAGAGAAGGGAAGAGAGGGCCCUCCAGUGGUCAUCCAAUCCAUCUGGGCCCAGGAAAGGAAGACCCAACCGUUCCAUAACUGCUUCUGGUCCAGCGAAGAGGAAAGGGGUUCCCCAAAUCAAUAGAUUUUUUUUUUCCCUUUUCUGCUCCGUGAUGGGUGCCCGGCACCCAAGCACCAAGGCAGCUGAUUCAGCCUGGCAGAAAAGCCCUGGCCUCCAAAUCUGCCAACUUCCCCCAAAGACCUCACCAUUCCAACAACACCUCGGUCGGCAAAAUUCAAAUAAAAGAAUUGCUCUUGGCGACUCCGAAACCCAAGAGUUCUCUUCCUCUCUUGCAAUACCCAGCUUUCCGUUCCUCUUUCUCAGUUCAGUUCACUUCCACCUGUCGGGUUGCAAGGCCCAUUAUCCCCAGCUGGAACAGCCAGGUUAAGAGAUGCUCCCCCCAUCUCUUCCUUUCUGGAGCCCCCUUUCCUCAAAAAUUGGGUACCAAAGCAAUGGCGGUGAAGAGGUUUUUUGCUUGGAUUUUGCACUGUUGCCUUUUCGUUCGUUCUGAGACGGUUGAACUUUUUACCGGCCGGGGACAUUCUUAACUGUUAAGCGUUGCGAUUGGACGCCUUGGAUGAAUCUUCAACGGUGAAACUUUUAUUAAACGUUGACUUGACUAAAA